GUAGCCCAGCUGACCGGCUCACUAGUGCACACGCACGGAAGAGGUCUUCUUCCUCCUGGGCACAUAUACUGGCACGUACAGCCAUGGCUUCUUCUUUUCAUCUUCAAUUUCCCCUUAUUUCUAGCGACCGUUUCUUCUCGAGUUCAAUACGAAAGUUACUCCUAAUUAGAUGAGCGUUCCAUUCAGGCAAUUAUUUCUCCACUUUAUUGCCUUAAUCUCCCAAAUCGUCCAGGUGCACCGAAUGCCGCCCGAUGGCAUACACCUCCCGAUCUCCCUCCUCAGCCCAUACUAAAUCAAACCGAGGAGAGCACCUUGUGUUCCUUGUUCUUCUCCACCGCUUUCAUUCACAAAGUUUCUCCAGAUAAACCAUGUACAGACCACACCGACCAUGCCAUCUACAGCCUCAAAUUCGAGUUCAUCGCUAGAUCUUGUCGUCUAGAGUGAUCACCAUGAAACUUCCUUGCACCAUAAGAUGUUUCUCUUCAAGGUCUACCUCCGGGACAUAGUCGUUUAUCACCUAGUUGAUGUUGGCCGCGACAUCAUCGGAGUUCAUCAGACUGGACAUCUGGGUGCAGUCUCUGGUCGAUGUUUGACACGCAGCCGUCGUUCCCUCCUCUCGCCGGCCGCCAUGACGCUGUUGACGAAUACGAUAAACAACACACACAACGAUGUCUGCCGUCGCUUCAUCCGACUCGCUGCAGACACAAUCUACGCCGGGACAUACUGAGGAGUCCUCAUUUUCUAUUUAACGAGCUGCACGUCUUUCACUCCUUCCACGAGCUCUGCCACCACCGGACAAUAACUUCUUCGAUUUCACGAGCCGCCGUGGUCGCACGAAGCAGUUCCAACGACCUUUGUAGGCGAGCGCUGCUACUGUUUGUGCGGAGAGCCACGUGUUUUGAUUGAGAUAAAAGGGAACGAUCUUCAACUACCAAAAGGCAAGUGACACACACC